rnacentral:rRNA from 1 species
GGCUUAAUACAUGCAAGUCGAGGGGCAGCACGAUGUAGCAAUACAGUUGAUGGCGACCGGCAAACGGGUGCGGAACACGUACAGAACCUUCCUUCGAGCGGGGAAUAGCCCAGAGAAAUUUGGAUUAAUACCCCAUAGUACAACGGAGUGGCAUCACUUUGUUGUUAAAGAUUUAUCACUUGAAGAUGGCUGUGCGGCUGAUUAGGUAGUUGGCGGGGUAACGGCCCACCAAGCCUGCGAUCAGUAACUGGUGUGAGAGCACGACCAGUCACACGGGCACUGAGACACGGGCCCGACUCCUACGGGAGGCAGCAGUAAGGAAUAUUGGUCAAUGGACGAAAGUCUGAACCAGCCAUGCCGCGUGGAGGAUGAAGGUCCUCUGGAUUGUAAACUUC